rnacentral:rRNA from 1 species
GGAUAGGAAAUUAAGAGGCAUCUUUUAAUUUUUAAAAGACCUUUUUCGAAAGGUAUGCUUAAAGAGGGGCUUGCGCCACAUUAGUUAGUUGGUAAGGUAAAGGCUUACCAAGACGAUGAUGUGUAGCUGGACUGAGAGGUCGAACAGCCACAUUGGGACUGAGACACGGCCCAAACUCCUACGGGAGGCAGCAGUAAGGAAUUUUUGGCAAUGGAGGAAACUCUGACCGAGCGACGCCGCGUGAACAAUGAAGUACUUCGGUAUGUAAAGUUCUUUUAUUGAAAAAGAAAAAAUAGUGGAAAAACUAUCUUGACAUUAUUCAAUGAAUAAGCCCCGGCUAAUUAUGUGCCAGCAGCCGCGGUAAUACAUAAGGGGCGAGCGUUAUCCGGAAUUAUUGGGCGUAAAGGGUGCGUAGGCGGUUUGAUAAGUCUAUAGUUUAAAUGCAGUGCUUAACGCUGUAGCGCUAUAGAAACUGUCUGACUAGAGUUAGAUAGAGGCAAGCGGAAUUCCAUGUGUAGCGGUAAAAUGCGUAAAUAUAUGGAGGAACACCAGAGGCGUAGGCGGCUUGCUGGGUCUUAACUGACGCUGAGGCACGAAAGCGUGGGGAGCAAACAGGAUUAGAUACCCUGGUAGUCCACGCCGUAAACGAUGAGUACUAAGUGUCGGGUUUCGGCUCGGUACUGAAGUUAACACAUUAAGUACUCCGCCUGAGUAGUACGUACGCAAGUAUGAAACUUAAAGGAAUUGACGGGACCCCGCACAAGCGGUGGAUCAUGUUGUUUAAUUCGAAGAUACACGAAAAACCUUACCAGGUCUUGACAUAAUUUUGCGACAUUAUAGAAAUAUAAUGAAGGUUAUCAGAAUUACAGGUGGUGCAUGGUUGUCGUCAGCUCGUGUCGUGAGAUGUUAGGUUAAGUCCUAAAACGAGCGCAACCCUUGUCGUUAGUUGCGACCACGUAAUGGUGAGCACUUUAGCGAGACUGCCAAUGAAAAAUUGGAGGAAGGUGAGGAUUACGUCAAAUCAUCAUGCCCCUUAUGAUCUGGGCUACAAACGUGAUACAAUGGCUGUUACAAAGAGUAGCUACAACGUGAGUUUUUAGCCAAUCUCAAAAAAACAGUCUCAGUUCGGAUUGAAGUCUGCAACUCGACUUCAUGAAGUUGGAAUCGCUAGUAAUCGCGAAUCAGCAUGUCGCGGUGAAUACGUUCUCGGGGUUUGUACACACCGCCCGU